GACGAACGCUGGCGGCGCGCUUAACACAUGCAAGUCGAACGGAAAGGCCUGCUUUCCCUUGUGGAUUGCGGGUACUCGAGUGGCGAACGGGUGAGUAACACGUGAGUGAUCUGCCCCCAACUUGGGUAUAAGCCUGGGAAACUGGGUCUAAUUCCCGAUAGGACUGCAGGGUGGUGCCUGUGGUGGAAAACGAUUUUCUAGUGGUUGGGGAUGAGCUCGCGGCCUAUCAGCUUGUUGGUGGGGUAAUGGCCUACCAAGGCGGCGACGGGUAGCCGGCCUGGGAGGGUGGACGGCCACAUUGGGACUGAGAUACGGCCCAGACUCCUACGGGAGGCAGCAGUGGGGAAUAUUGCACAAUGGACGGAAGCCUGAUGCAGCGACGCCGCGUGGGGGAUGACGGCCUUCGGGUUGUAAACUCCUUUCGACCGCGAGGAAGCCACCUGGUUGGAAGGGUGGUGACGGUAGUGGUAGAAGAAGCACCGGCUAACUACGUG
rnacentral:rRNA from 1 species